rnacentral:rRNA from 1 species
UAUCUUGCGACCGUACUCCCCAGGCGGGAUGCUUAAGACGUUAGCUGCGCCACUGAAGAGCAAGCUCCCCAACGGCUAGCAUCCAUCGUUUACGGCGUGGACUACCAGGGUAUCUAAUCCUGUUUGCUCCCCACGCUUUCGCACCUGAGCGUCAGUACCGGGCCAGUGAGCCGCCUUCGCCACUGGUGUUCUUCCUAAUAUCUACGAAUUUCACCUCUACACUAGGAAUUCCACUCACCUCUCCCGGACUCAAGACUGGCAGUAUCAAAGGCAAUUCCGAGGUUGAGCCCCGGGAUUUCACCCCUGACUUAUCAAUCCACCUGCGUGCGCUUUACGCCCAGUAAUUCCGAACAACGCUAGCCCCCUUCGUAUUACCGCGGCUGCUGGCACGAAGUUAGCCGGGGCUUAUUCUGCGGGUACCGUCAUUAUCUUCCCCGCUAAAAGAGCUUUACAACCCUAAGGCCUUCUUCACUCACGCGGCAUGGCUGGAUCAGGCUUUCGCCCAUUGUCCAAGAUUCCCUA